ACGGUUAUAAAUCAACAUAUUGAUUUAUAAGCAUGGAAAUCCCCUGAGUGAAACAACGAAUUGCUGUGUGUAGUCUUUUCCCAUCUCCCACUAUGGGCUUUUUUUUAA
rnacentral:other from 1 species